CAGUAGCCGCGGUAAUACGAAGGGUGCAAGCGUUACUCGGAAUUACUGGGCGUAAAGCGUGCGUAGGUGGUGGUUUAAGUCCGUUGUGAAAGCCCUGGGCUCAACCUGGGAAUUGCAGUGGAUACUGGGUCACUAGAGUGUGGUAGAGGAUAGUGGAAUUUCCGGUGUAGCAGUGAAAUGCGUAGAGGUCGGAAGGAACAUCUGUGGCGAAGGCGACUAUCUGGGCCAACACUGACACUGAGGCACGAAAGCGUGGGGAGCAAACAGGAUUAGAUACCCGCGUAGUCCCUGUCUCUUAUAC
rnacentral:rRNA from 1 species